rnacentral:rRNA from 1 species
UACGAAGGGGGCUAGCGUUGUUCGGAAUUACUGGGCGUAAAGCGCACGUAGGCGGAUUGUUAAGUCAGAGGUGAAAUCCCGGAGCUCAACUUCGGAACUGCCUUUGAUACUGGCAAUCUCGAGUCCGGAAGAGGUUAGUGGAAUUCCCAGUGUAGAGGUGAAAUGCGCAGAUAUCAGGAAGAACACCAAUGGCGAAGGCAGCUCUCUGGGACGGUACUGACGCUGAGACGCGAAAGCGUGGGGAGCGAACAGG